rnacentral:pre_miRNA from 1 species
ACGUAGCCAGAUUUUAAGUUUUUACUUGCAACGUUUGACCACUCGUCUUAUUCAAAAAUUUUUAAAAUUAUUAUUUAUUUUAUUUAUGACUUACUUUAUUAUCUACAGUAUUUUAAGCAUAACUUUUCAUUUUUUAUAUUUGCAAAAAAAAAUUUGAAUAAGACAAGUGGUUAAACGUUGCAAACAAAAACUUAAAAUCCCUUAUA